UAAUGCAUUUGAUUUCUAGCUUACAAUUAACACCGUGCAUGCAAUACAUCAAUCAAAAAACAAUUACACAUUCAUAGAACCUAACAGGGUAAUGGGCAGAUAUUAGGAGUAUACUUUCGGUAUGCACUUUUCUGCAAACAAAUUCAAACCUACUCCAGCAGAAGACUGUUGCUGUCCUAGCACCAGGACAUUUAUGUAGACACCGCAUGCAAUGCGUUUAUGCAUAAUCUAUUUGGCUCAUCCUUGCAUAUAGCCCUGGGUUUCAUAGUCUAAAAUCAGCAUUGGCCAGUCACUCCAUGAAUCUGACAACAUUACCCAUAAUGCUCUUUGACUGAACAUUCAACAUUGCCAUGGCAAUAAUGCAUCACAAUGUAAAUGAUAUUUCUAUGUUUCAUCAUUAAGGCCCAAGACAUAAAGUAGUCUGAAGGCUUGUGUAUCAAUCCUUCCACUGCUGACCCAGAUGAGAUGCUCAUCACGUAAAGGACUGGCUUCACCUAGAAUCAUGCAUACCUUUUCUGUGAGUACUCAGACAUCAGAUGCUUUACUUACCUCAUGAGGACCCCUGAGAUUGCGAUAUCUGGAAACACUGUCUCAUGUAGAAUUGGUUAUGUUCUUUCUCUGAAAUGUAUUUAAAAAAAAUAUUGACUUGAUUGUUUCAUUAAGGACGGUGCAUCACAAGCUGGAACUAGUGGGCAAAAUUGGGAGAAUGUUGCCCAAAACAACGGGCCAAUAUAUACAUUUUUUAUUUUAUUUGUAUUAUUUAACCUUUUAUUUAACUAGGCAAGUCAGAACAAAUUCUUAUUUACAAUGACGGCCUACCCCGGCCAAACCGGGACAACGCUGGGCCACUUCUGCGCCGCCCUAUGGGGCUCCCAAUCACGGCCGGAUGUGAUACAACCUGGAUGGAGGUAGGCAUUACACUUCUGACAGGUCUCAUGAUUGUAUUACUUCAUCUGAAAGUGAGAGAGUAAAUCCUAGCUGUUGUUAUUCUUUUACCAGGGUUAGACCAUCCCCCAUAUGCCAUUAACAAUUACGGGAAUCUCUAUAUGGCCAAUGGAAAUGGUGUCCCCCUGUAAAUGACCAACAAUGGAGCAAGUAAGCAAGACAUGCCAGCAGAGCUCACUGGAGCAGGAAGACAUCCCGUCCUCCUCUCGGCGCCUGACAAGAAGCCAACAUUGCUGCACAGAGGGAGGUAACCUCAACAUCCAUCAGAGGGAGGGGAUCUUCCCAACAAGCAGCGUUUCUGAACAGAGGGAAGAGAUCCUCACGAAAGCCGGUUUCCCUGUGAAGAAUAGAGACAAUCCUCCACAACCACCUCCCAUCAUCCCCAUGGUGGGACGAAUGUGGGAAUGGGAUGGUGGAGUGUGUACUAUUCCAAGAGAAGAGGUCAUUUAAGCCUUAUCUUAUGAGAAAUUAAUUUGCCAUUGCAAGAGUGUGAUAAUUAGUUGUGAUAGAUCAAAUGCCUGCUACUCGUGUGAGUGUAUGGCUGUUAUAUUUUCAUGCGUUCUCUAGCUACAUAAAAUAGGUUUAGCUCUAAGAAUCUUUGUGACUGCCGGCAGUCUGGUUGAGAGUAUCAGAGUGAGAUGCUCCUAACCUGUCAGCUCGUGAUUGUUCUGUAUGGUGACAUGAGCAGAGUGGCCUGACUUCUCCUUCUUAUUAAAGAUGUCCGAAGUAGACAUGUUGCGCAUCCUGCUAUGAUGUCCAUCACCAGGCCAGAACACUCCGAGGCCAACCCUCGAAGCCAGACUGGCAGCCGGGCCAGUGACUGAGCCUGAGACCCCUGCUGCAAAGAACACACCAAACAAUGGUGGCUGGCUCAGCUGGUUCUCUGUAGGGGAAAAGAGGUUCAUCCAAAGGAGGCUCAUCUACCCGAGGACAAUGACAAAUCGAUUAUCUGGGAUUCAACCCUGGACAGAUGGGUUGACAAAAUUGAGCCCAAUGCUGAGAACAAGCCAGUACCACCACCUCCUCCAAUGGGAAUGAAUGGACAUCUGGGGAACUCUGGCAGUCUCCCCAAAGGAGAGCAGGUGAAUGUUAAUUUAGACUACAUUAGGUUUAACUCCAAGACUGUACCAGCCAAUCAUUGCUCUUUGUGGUGAUCUCCUGCUAACAUUUUCCCCACUAACUGCAAGUCUAUGGGGCAAUUAUGGAUCACCACAAAGCCUCUACCCUCAUUGUGCCUAUGGCGUUGCCAUUUGAGUCUGCUCAAGAUUUCUGGCAGAAUCCUGCCCCUGGUAUUCUAUCCUAUAGAGGUAUGAUUCUGAACAAUCCUUCCAAAAAUAAUCCAUUUCAUUAACUAUGCCUUUACUUUACAGUAACAUACAGUAGCAUAUGGCUGAAGUAACAGUGAUGUUAACAUUUUGUAUUUUUCUCCCACAGGCAAAUUUUCCCAGAGUGGAGUUCCUUAUAAGGGGAUUUUUCAGCAUUUUCAAAGAAUAAGAAAAAGAUAUAGCAAAGAAAAAUAUUAUUUGGCAAUUGCCAAAUUAGUUCUUAGUUAUUAAAAGACUCAAGCAUU